rnacentral:lncRNA from 1 species
UUAUUCCCUGCUAUGGUGAUGUAGAUCUCUUUACAGAUCUUCCCAAGCAGAUGUCGGGUGUUUAAAAUCUCUCCAUAUAGAGUUAGCCCGUAAGCAGAAAAUGUCUGUAUUUCCUUCUGCAAUUCCCCACUGAGAUAUAUCCUCGUGGAUGACGGUUUCUUCCGUUUCCUCCCAACACAUAUAUUGGGAUGGAUUUUCCUAUUUGAGUUAUAUCCUCAUUAGGACGUGUCUUGAUUCAGUCUGUCUUUUCAGUUUCUUCCGUUUCCUCCCAACACAUAUAUUGGGAUGGAUUUUCCUAUUUGAGUUAUAUCCUCAUUAGGACGUGUCUUGAUUCAGUCUGUCUUUUCGGAUUAUUCCCGAAUUGGCUAUUUGUCGAAUAUCUUGUGCUUCCCAGUGGGUUGUUCCCCAGCGGAAUGUUUUCGGGCCUCUACCCAGUAACCGGUAGUUGUAAGUCCUAUCUUUCCUGGCUUUCUUGACAGAAUUUGUGGUUAUACACCCUUUUAUUCUCCAGCCAGAGUUUUGGUUUUCUACCUAACAGUCGGUAGUUGUAAAUCC